rnacentral:rRNA from 1 species
AGUCAAGUAAUUAAGUGCAUGUGGUGGAUGCCUUGGCAGUCAGAGGCGAUGAAAGACGUGAUAGCCUGCGAAAAGCUCCGGGGAGGCGGCAAAUAUCCUUUGAUCCGGAGAUGUCUGAAUGGGGGAACCCACCUACUUUAAGGUAGGUAUUGCAACAUGAAUACAUAGUGUUGCAAGGCGAACGAGGGGAAGUGAAACAUCUCAGUACCCUUAGGAAAAGAAAUCAAUUGAGAUUCCCUCAGUAGCGGCGAGCGAACGGGGAUCAGCCCAUUAAGUUAUGUGUGUUUUAGUGGAACGCUCUGGGAAGUGCGAACGUAGAGGGUGAUAUUCCCGUACACGAAAGGGCACACAUAAUGAUGACGAGUAGGGCGAGGCACGUGAAACCUUGUCUGAAUAUGGGGGGACCAUCCUCCAAGGCUAAAUACUCCUGACUGACCGAUAGUGAACCAGUACCGUGAGGGAAAGGCGAAAAGAACCCCUGUGAGGGGAGUGAAAUAGAUCCUGAAACCGCAUGCAUACAAGCAGUGGGAGCACCUUCGUGGUGUGACUGCGUACCUUUUGUAUAAUGGGUCAGCGACUUAUAUUCAGUAGCGAGGUUAACCGUAUAGGGGAGCCGUAGAGAAAUCGAGUCUUAAUAGGGCGUUUAGUUGCUGGGUAUAGACCCGAAACCAGGCGAUCUAUCCAUGAGCAGGUUGAAGGUUGGGUAACACUAACUGGAGGACCGAACCCACUGUCGUUGAAAAGCCAGGGGAUGACUUGUGGAUAGGGGUGAAAGGCUAAUCAAGCCUGGUGAUAGCUGGUUCUCCCCGAAAGCUAUUUAGGUAGCGCCUCGGACGAAUACCAUAGGGGGUAGAGCACUGUUUCGGCUAGGGGGUCAUCCCGACUUACCAAACCGAUGCAAACUCCGAAUACCUAUGAGUACUAUCCGGGAGACAGACUGCGGGUGCUAACGUCCGUAGUCAAGAGGAAAACAAUCCAGACCGCCAGCUAAGGCCCCAAAAUCAUAGUUAAGUGGGAAACGAUGUGGGAAGGCAUAGACAGCUAGGAGGUUGGCUUAGAAGCAGCCACCCUUUAAAGAAAGCGUAAUAGCUCACUAGUCGAGUCGGCCUGCGCGGAAGAUGUAACGGGGCUAAAACUAUGUGCCGAAGCUGCGGAUGUAUACUUUGUAUACGUGGUAGGGGAGCGUUCUGUAAGCCGAUGAAGGUGUGUUGAGAAGCAUGCUGGAGGUAUCAGAAGUGCGAAUGCUGACGUGAGUAACGACAAAACGGGUGAAAAACCCGUUCGCCGAAAGACCAAGGGUUCCAGUCCAACGUUAAUCGGGGCUGGGUGAGUCGACCCCUAAGGCGAGGCCGAAAGGCGUAGUCGAUGGGAAAAUGGUUAAUAUUCCAUUACUUCUGUGUAAUGCGAUGAGAGGACGGAGAAGGCUAAAUCAGCCUGGCGUUGGUUGUCCAGGUGAAAGGAUGUAGGCAUGUAUCUUAGGCAAAUCCGGGGUACUCUAUGCUGAGAUCUGAUAGCAAGCUGUACUUGUACAGCGAAGUGGUUGAUGCCAUGCUUCCAGGAAAAGUCUCUAAGCUUCAGUUAUACAGGAAUCGUACCCGAAACCGACACAGGUGGUCAGGUCGAGUAGACCAAGGCGCUUGAGAGAACUCUGCUGAAGGAACUAGGCAAAAUGGUACCGUAACUUCGGGAGAAGGUACGCUGUUGUUGGUGAUGGAACUUGCUUCCUGAGCUGACGACAGCCGCAGAAACCAGGCCGCUGCAACUGUUUAUUAAAAACAUAGCACUCUGCAAACACGAAAGUGGACGUAUAGGGUGUGAUGCCUGCCCGGUGCUGGAAGGUUAAUUGAUGGGGUUAGCGUAAGCGAAGCUCUUGAUCGAAGCCCCAGUAAACGGCGGCCGUAACUAUAACGGUCCUAAGGUAGCGAAAUUCCUUGUCGGGUAAGUUCCGACCUGCACGAAUGGCAUAAUGAUGGCGGCGCUGUCUCCAGCAGAGGCUCAGUGAAAUCGAAAUCGCUGUGAAGAUGCAGUGUACCCGCGGCUAGACGGAAAGACCCCGUGAACCUUUACUGCAGCUUGACACUGAACUUUGACCUUACUUGUGUAGGAUAGGUGGGAGGCUUUGAAGCUGGAACGCUAGUUCCAGUGGAGCCGUCCUUGAAAUACCACCCUGGUAAUGUUGAGGUUCUAACUCUGUCCCGUGAUCCGGGACGAGGACCGUGUCUGGUGGGUAGUUUGACUGGGGCGGUCUCCUCCUAAAGAGUAACGGAGGAGUACGAAGGUGCGCUCAGCGUGGUCGGAAAUCACGCGUAGAGUAUAAAGGCAAAAGCGCGCUUAACUGCGAGACCCACAAGUCGAGCAGGUACGAAAGUAGGUCUUAGUGAUCCGGUGGUUCUGUAUGGAAGGGCCAUCGCUCAACGGAUAAAAGGUACUCUGGGGAUAACAGGCUGAUACCGCCCAAGAGUUCAUAUCGACGGCGGUGUUUGGCACCUCGAUGUCGGCUCAUCUCAUCCUGGGGCUGAAGCAGGUCCCAAGGGUAUGGCUGUUCGCCAUUUAAAGAGGUACGCGAGCUGGGUUUAGAACGUCGUGAGACAGUUCGGUCCCUAUCUACCGUGGGCGCUGGAAAUUUGAGAGGAUCUGCUCCUAGUACGAGAGGACCAGAGUGGACGAACCUCUGGUGUACCGGUUGUGACGCCAGUCGCAUCGCCGGGUAGCUAUGUUCGGAAGGGAUAACCGCUGAAAGCAUCUAAGCGGGAAGCCUACCUCAAGAUAAGAUUUCCCUAGGACUUUAUGUCCUCUAAAGAGCCGUUCGAGACUAGGACGUUGAUAGGUUGGAUGUGGAAGCAUAGUGAUAUGUGAAGCUGACCAAUACUAAUUGCUCGUGAGGCUUGACUAU